GUGAGGAAUAUUGGACAAUGGAUGGAAAUCUGAUCCAGCCAUGCCGCGUGCAGGAAGACGGCCCUAUGGGUUGUAAACUGCUUUUGUAUGGGAGCAAUAAGGGCUACGUGUAGCCUGAUGAGAGUACCAUACGAAUAAGGACCGGCUAACUCCGUGCCAGCAGCCGCGGUAAUACGGAGGGUCCGAGCGUUAUCCGGAUUUAUUGGGUUUAAAGGGUGCGUAGGCGGUUUUAUAAGUCAGCGGUGAAAUUUUCCGGCUCAACCGGGAUACUGCCGUUGAUACUGUAAGGCUAGGAUAUGGUUGCUGUGGGUGGAAUGUGUGGUGUAGCGGUGAAAUGCUUAGAGAUCACACAGAAUAUCGAUUGCGAAGGCAGCUCACAAAGCCAUUAUUGACGCUGAGGCACGAAAGUGUGGGGAUCAAACAGGAUUAGAAACCCGUGUAGUCC
rnacentral:rRNA from 1 species